CUCUGACCUUAUGCACACCAGGAUUCAUUCAAGGAGCUCAGAACAAGGUUUCCCUCCUGAAAAGUCCAUGGUUCUGAGGUGGGCCUCCAGCCUCCCCUGCCCUUCCUCUGCUAUUGGGAUCCCUGAACCAGACGUGGUGCGCACAGGGAAGGCUGGGGCCCUGGUAUGGCAGUGCUGAGCAGGUCUUCAGACAACCCGUGGUUCCAACCCCAGCUCUAUUCCUACUGCCUCGUUAGUAAAACACAAGCAAAAUACCAUCUCCCUCCUUGGGUGGUGACCUUGAGGUGUCAGUGCGAUAAUGCAUCUCAAGUGCUUAGUACUGCCUGACAUAUAGUACAGUUAGAAACUGAUUAUAGAUAGGGAAACUGAGGCACUGGUAAACAUACCAGGGGGCCUGUGGCCUGUGUUUUAGUUACUCCAGGCAAUUCUCUGCCUGCCUCUGGGCCAUCAAUCAUCUAUUCACGCAAUGAGGAAUUGGCCUGAAAAAUGCUAAAGCCUCUUCCAUCUUGGGGCUUUUCUGGUUCUAAACCCAAGCCAGGGCCACCCACUCUUCUAAUACCUUUCAUCCAGCCGGUCCUUGUUCCUUGGCUCUUACCCAAGGAAAAUGCCUUUUUGCCACUCCAAAAUGAACUGCAGCUUUUUGUGCUUAUGAA
rnacentral:lncRNA from 1 species